UUUGCAUUAUCCUUCUCUUAGCUUGGAGGGCAGGAAAGAACAGAAAAGGAAUAGAGAAAAAAAAAGGGAGCUAAGGGCCAACUUCUGAAUCUGGUGAUUGCUCACAGUCAGUAUCAGAAUUCCAAAAGAAUUUCCAUCUUUUUGAGCAUGCAAGAUGAAAUUGACAUGGAAGAGAUCAUCAAGGACAUUUUCAGACAACGCAAAAUCUGCUUCAUCCCUCGGUACCAAUUCCAGAGCAAUCACAUGGACAUGGACAUGAGAUUAGCAUCACCUGAAGAGAUUUCUUCACUUCCCCAAACAUCCUGGAAUAUUCAUCAGCCUGGUGAGGGAGAUGUUUGGGAGGAGGUCUUAUCCACGGGAAAAGCCUCUCAUCUAUUGGGUCUGGUGGCUGAAGACUGAUGCUGUCCUGGUACUUCUGCCCCUAAUGCCAAUGAGACCAGGAGCCUGAUAUGACCAUCUGGAUUUCCACUCAGCUGACAGACACCAUCCAAGCAUCAGCUGCUGACUACAACCUGCUCCAAACAACUGUGGAUCAAUCCAACCAAUCUGAUCGCUCCCUGUCUUGAGCUGGAUCAGCAAACCAGAUGCUUCUGAUGAGUGCUCCAUUGCCUGAAUUCCUUCCUCCAUUUGAGUAGCAUUCCAGCCCUCCUGGGCCCUGACAACAAUGUCCUAGUUUCAGCAGGAAGGAGUUAUAGAAGAGAAUCAUCCCUUGUCCCCCGAUAGGCUGGAAUGUUAGAUCAAAAGAAUACUACCUGGCACAGGAGACAAAGUAGCUACCUACAGUGUCUAUUGGCAUGUCGGGAAAGGCACCUAUUAAAACCAAAUAGACCCAGAUCUGGCAACAGGUAAAUUCAUUGGCUGAAACAUUUCUACAAUAUUAUAGGGUACUCAACCUGCUCUAUGUAAAACAGAGGCUAUUGUGUGGCUUCAAGAGAAAAUUGUUGUUUCUAUAUAAACCACUCAGGGAUUAUUAGAGAUAACCUGGGUGUGUUCAACAAAAGCACUGCAAAAAAGGAGACCUGAAAUGAAAUAAAUAAUUGGUCCCCAUUCUCAUCUCCAGGCUCCUUCUAGAUAGUGACUCUGAUGUCAGCCAUCACAGGGCCUUUGGAUCUUCUGUUUCUGCUAAUCACUGUUGACUCUUACAUCACUGAUGCUUUAACUAAGUGAUAAGUCCUGUCUGGGUACCAUUAAGCUUAUGGUUAUUAGAUCCUAAUAUAUACAGGUCCCUCUCACAGAGUCCAGGAUUUGAUACAGUGUAUAACUCAAGGUAGAAGGAAGGAAAGCCUGAGUUAAAUUUUAAGUUUAAAUUACUAUGCCUAAGAGAUCCAUGAAACCAAAAUGCCCCUGAUCUGCAGUCACCUUGCUCAAAGACAGGUAGUUCCUGAAAUGCUAGAGGCUAUUAUUUAUGAGAAAUAAUAAGCCACAUGUAUCCACUCCCUAAAGACGUUGUUUGACCCAUCCACAACCGAUGUGCUUGAUCACAUGUGAGCGGGACGUAGGUGGGUAGGAAAUGUAUCAGGAUGCCCUUGAUUGGAUAUAGUCAGGAAGUACGCAGGCAAAAUAGGGUAGGAUGUAUGCCUCUACCUGAUUGGACCUGAUGAGAAAUGUAGUAAACUGUAGGUUUGGCCUUUUUAAGCCCAUGUAAAAUGUGAUCUGGGGGCAUUUCCUGGGAACUGGGUAUGGACAUGGGCAGAGUGUAUCCUCCUGGGCACUAUAAAAUUAAAGCUUGCUUCAAAUCUGCCUUGAAACUGUGAUGAUGGCUUUAUACUCAACCAAUGGGGUUAACACAAUGAGGCCCUAUAUGGGAAGAGCAGAGGCCCAUAAGGGAGGUCAUCCUUAGGAGCAGUACAGGUCCAUCAGUGAGGUCCUCCAUAGAAGUAUGAGAGACCCAUAAGUGUGGCCUUCCUUGGGAACAGCACAGGCCCCUAUGUGAGAUCUCAUAAGGAACAGCAGAGGCCAAUACAUGUAGCCUCCUUAGGAACAUCACAGUCCCAUAACUGAGGCCUCCAUAGGAACAAGAGAGGCCAUCAGUGAGGCCUAUACUGCAACAGCAGAUUACCAUAAGUGAGUCCUCCAUAAGAACAGCAGGGGCCCAUAAUGAGGCCUCCAUAGCAAGAGCAGUGUCCUAUAUGUAAGGCCUCUCUAGGCACAGCACAGGCCCAUUCGUGAGGCCUCCAUAGGAACAACAGAGUCCCAUAAUGAGGCCUCCACAGAAACAGCAUGGGCCUAUAAAUGAGGCCCUUCUUGUGAACAGUAGGGGACCAUAAUUGAGGCCCUCCAUGGGAACAGCAGAUGCUCAUAGGUUAGCCCCCACAGCAACAGCAGAGGCCCAUAAUGGAGUCCCUCCUUGGGACUAGCAGAGAUUUAUAAGUGAGACCCUCAAUUACAGCAGCAGGUGUCUAUAAGUAAGGAUCUCCUUGAGAACAGUAGUGGCCCACAGAGAGGCCCUCCACGAGAACAGCAAAGGCCCAGCAGCAAGGCCCUCCAUGGUAGAAGCAGCCUAAGAAACAAGUGUUUCAGGUAAGAGUAUUUGCAUUGCUGGCUUCCAAGUCCAUGGCAGACACACUGAGAGAAGGCCCUCCUUAAUUCUUAAUUUCAUUAUAUAAAAGCAAUACGAUUCAGUUCCUUUUAAAAUAGAAAAUACAACUGAACAAAAACUUUAAAAUAACCAUCCCUUUACCUAUGAAGAACCAAUUAUCUAUCACAUUGGUAGAUGAUAUUUAUACCACAUAUAGAUAUAAAACACUUAUAGAUACACACGCUUGUCUGGGCUUUGAAAGUAAGCCCUCCUGAACCUUGCAACCCGGUUCUGAUCGUCUACUUUUAUUGUGACCCUAUCUCAAUAAAUGACUAUUUACAGCAUUAGAAUAGCUAA